GGGGCCGUCGUCUAGCCAGGACCAGGACGCCAGGCUUGGGCCCUGGAGGUCCAGGGUUCAAAUCCCUGCGGCCCCA
rnacentral:tRNA from 1 species